rnacentral:rRNA from 1 species
CCUACGGGAGGCAGCAGUGAGGAAUAUUGGUCAAUGGACGAGAGUCUGAACCAGCCAAGUAGCGUGAAGGAUGACUGCCCUAUGGGUUGUAAACUUCUUUUAUAUGGGAAUAAAAUGUUCCACGUGUGGGAUUUUGUAUGUACCAUAUGACUAAGGAUCGGCUAACUCCGUGCCAGCAGCCGCGGUAAUACGGAGGAUCCGAGCGUUAUCCGGAUUUAUUGGGUUUAAAGGGAGCGUAGGGGGAUUGUUAAGUCAGUUGUGAAAGUUUGCGGCUCAACCGGAAAAUUGCAGUUGAAACUGGCAGUCUUGAGUACAGUAGAGGUAGGCGGAAUUCGUGGUGUAGCGGUGAAAUGCUUAGAUAUCACGAAGAACUCCGAUUGCGAAGGCAGUUCACUGGACUGCAACUGACACUGAGGCUCGAAAGUGUGGGUAUCAAACAGGAUUAGAUACCCUGGUAGUC